rnacentral:rRNA from 1 species
AUUGAACGCUGGCGGCAUGCUUUACACAUGCAAGUCGAACGGUAACAGGCCUUCGGGUGCUGACGAGUGGCGAACGGGUGAGUAAUGCAUCGGAACGUGCCCAGAGGUGGGGGAUAACGCAGCGAAAGCUGUGCUAAUACCGCAUGUGAUCUGAGGAUGAAAGCGGGGGACCAGGCAGCAAUGUUUGGCCUCGCGCCUUUGGAGCGGCCGAUGUCAGAUUAGGUAGUUGGUGGGGUAAAGGCCUACCAAGCCGACGAUCUGUAGCUGGUCUGAGAGGACGACCAGCCACACUGGGACUGAGACACGGCCCAGACUCCUACGGGAGGCAGCAGUGGGGAAUUUUGGACAAUGGGCGCAAGCCUGAUCCAGCAAUGCCGCGUGAGGGAAGAAGGCCUUCGGGUUGUAAACCGCUUUUGUACGGAACGAAAAGGCUCUGGCUAAUACCUGGGGCUGAUGACGGUACCGUAAGAAUAAGCACCGGCUAACUACGUG